rnacentral:lncRNA from 10 species
GUUUGUCUGAGGUUCUUCUCACUCAGAAAACAAGGAAGCCACUCUGAUGGGCUGGACUGUGUCCCCCAAAGCUUCAUGUGUUGAAGCCCUAACCCCUAGCUCCUCAGAAUGUGACUGUAUUUGCAGGAGACAAUGUUAUGAUGAACAACUUGGUAGCCUUUGCUUAUAUCCAUGAUUAUUUUCUUGGAAUACUAAAUUUUGAUUUUUAAAAUUUAACUUUUACCACUGGUAAAUGGGGGAAAAUCCCUAUAUUCCCAACCAAUAAAUAAUCUAAACCAGACAGCAGGAAUACAGUGAUCAUUGCUGAUGUCUGAAAAUAUUCACCUUUAGACCGAAUUGUGAGGAUGAUGGCAAUUCAUGGAGGAUGGCUGGGAAGUUAAUCAGCAGGGAGGAAUGAGGAAGAAAGCAGGGAGAACGUCCACGCCUUCCCAUAGCAAGGCUGAAAAUGAAGCUGCCAGAAAACAAGUAAGGAAAUAAAAAGACAAGUAAAGAGACCUAAGGAGUGGAGAAUACGGUUGUUAAAAGGAGUGGAGUGAGAAGGCCGUGGUUUGAAGACCUGAUAUGACUGGCAUGCAGAACGCUCCCGCUCCCCACAAGGCUGGCUGGCAUGUCUAUUGUCCACCGUGUGCUUUCGGGGGACUUGGAAUAUUUAGCUGGUUUGCCACCACUGCCCAGAGCCCCUGCCACUGAUAUGUGCGCAAGAAAACAAGAAGUAUAACAUUAGAUUUGGCAAAGCAUGAAAAGGAGGCAGAGCUGCUGCAGGAAGAAAAUUCAUCUAACACUUUAUAAAGUAAAACAAAUAAAUGUGAGUGUUCUGUUUCACAUCUCUGAUCGCUUCAUUCAUACGGAAAAUUCAAAAUUAUCUGCAAUGGACAUAUAUUCAGGGUGCCCAGUCUAGGCCAUUUCUUUAUCUA